rnacentral:rRNA from 1 species
CCUACGGGUGGCUGCAGUGGGGAAUAUUGGACAAUGGGGGGAACCCUGAUCCAGCCAUGCCGCGUGUGUGAAGAAGGCCCUCGGGUUGUAAAGCACUUUCAGUGAGGAAGAACGCCUGGUGGUUAAUACCCAUCAGGAAAGACAUCACUCACAGAAGAAGCACCAGCUAACUCCGUGCCAGCAGCCGCGGUAAUACGGAGGGUGCGAGCGUUAAUCGGAAUUACUGGGCGUAAAGCGCGCGUAGGUGGCUUGAUAAGCCGGUUGUGAAAGCCCCGGGCUCAACCUGGGAACGGCAUCCGGAACUGUCAAGCUAGAGUGCAGGAGAGGAAGGUAGAAUUCCCGGUGUAGCGGUGAAAUGCGUAGAGAUCGGGAGGAAUACCAGUGGCGAAGGCGGCCUUCUGGACUGACACUGACACUGAGGUGCGAAAGCGUGGGUAGCAAACAGGAUUAGAUACCCCAGUAGUC